GUCCAUGCUGUAAACGAUGGGCACUAGGUGUAGAGGGUUUCAACCCUUCUGUGCCGUAGUUAACGCAUUAAGUGCCCCGCCUGGGGAGUACGGUCGCAAGAUUAAACUCAAAGGAAUUGACGGGGCCCGCACAAGCGGUGGAGCAUGUGGUUCAAUUCGACGCAACGCGAAGAACCUUACCUGGGUUUGACAUCUCCCUAAUUCCUGAGAAAUCAGGAAGUGCCUUGAAAAAGGAGUGGGAAGACAGGUGCUGCAUGGCUGUCGU
rnacentral:rRNA from 1 species